rnacentral:rRNA from 1 species
UACAGAGGGGGCGAGCGUUAUUCGGAAUUAUUGGGCGUAAAGGGCGCGUAGGCGGUCUGACAAGUGGAAGGUGAAAUCCCUCGGCUUAACCGAGGAACUGCCCUCCAAACUGUUUGACUUGAGUCCGGGAGAGGUGAGUGGAAUUCCCAGUGUAGCGGUGAAAUGCGUAGAUAUUGGGAGGAACACCAGUGGCGAAGGCGGCUCACUGGACCGGAACUGACGCUGAGGCGCGAAAGCGUGGGGAGCAAACAGG